rnacentral:rRNA from 1 species
CGGUCAAGAAACUAAGGGCGCAAGGCGGAUGCCUUGGCACCAGGAGGCGAAGAAGGACGUGACAAGCAACGAAAACCUCGAGUAGGAGCAAAUAUCCAGUAACUCGGGGGAAUCCGAAUGGGGAAACCUACUAGACACACUCUAGUAUCCAUACGUAAAUCAAUAGCGUAUGGAAGCGAAUGUUCUGAACUGAAACAUCUAAGUAGGAACAAGAAAAGAAAGAAAACUCGAUUCUCCAAGUAGCGGCGAGCGAACAGAGAACAGCCCAUUAAAGUAAGACUAAACUGAUAGACAAAUCUUAUGGAAAGAAGAACCAAAGAAAGUAACAGUCUUGUAGUCGAAAUCAGAAUAGAGACACUUUAAGAAGAGUACCACGGAGCACGUGAAAUUCUGUGGGAAGAUAGGGGGACCACCCCCUAAGGCUAAAUACUACCUGGUGACCGAUAGCGAAUAGUACCGUGAGGGAAAGGUGAAAAGAACCCCGGGAGGGGAGUGAAACAGAACCUGAAACCUUGCGCCUACAAGCAGACAGAGGAAGAAGACUUCUAAUGUCGUACUUUUUGUAGAACGGGCCAGCGAGUUACGAUACGUAGCAAGAUUAAACAUUUAAGAUGUGAAGUCGCAGGGAAACCGAGUCUUAAUAGGGCGAAAGUUAUGUGUUGUAGACCCGAAACCGGGUGAUCUAUCCAUGGGC